CAUAUUUGACUCCUAGAAACUAACCAAGCUUCUUCUUGCGUCUCAAAGCUUUGAUGGUGCAGUCGUAGUUCGUAUGAGUCUUUGUCUUUAUAUCUUCUAACAAGGAUACAAUACUUAGGCUCUUAAGAUCCGAUUGCGGUUUAAGUUCUUAUAUUCAAUCAUACACAUGACAUCAAGACAUAUUUGACUCCAAAACACUAACCAAGCUUCUUCUUCCUUCUCAAAGCGUUGAUGGUGUAGCUAUAGUCUGUAUGGGUCUUUGUCUUUGUCUCUUUUA
rnacentral:sRNA from 1 species